GUCUUUACGAGUUUUUAUGUGAAGUCUAACCUGCUCUAUGUUUAUAUUAAUGGCCGCGGUAUUUUGACUGUGCGAAGGUAGCAUAAUAAAUAGGUUAUUAAUUGUGAUCUGGUAUGAAUGGUUUGAUGUAAUAAUAUCUGUCUUAUUUAUAUAUUUAAAUUUUAACUAUCAGUAAAAAUGCUGAUGUAAAUUGGAAAGACGAGAAGACCCUAUUAAGUUUUACAUUUAUUGUAGUUUUAUGGUAUAAUAUUAAUAUUUUAAUGUUUGAUUGGGGCGAUUAUAAAAUUAAAUAACAUUUAUAUAAUUUGUAUUAUUAUAAUAAUUUAAUGAUCCAUCAAUGAUGAUUAUUAGAAUAAAUUACUAUAGGGAUAACAGCGUAAUUUUAUUGGAGAGUUCUUAUUGAUGAUAAAGAUUGCGACCUCGAUGUUGGAUUAGGAUAUCUAUUGGACGCAGGUGUUUAGUUAGAUAGUCUGUUCGACUAUUAAAUUCCUACA
rnacentral:rRNA from 1 species